rnacentral:tRNA from 1 species
AAGGAAGAACAGAAUUUUGUGAGUACUGCUAAUCCUUACGCACCAUGGUUAAAAUCCAUGGCU